UCCUGGUUAGCUCAUUUGGUAGAGCGCUCCACUGCGAAUGGAGUGGUCCCUGGUUCGAUACCAGGACAAGGCG
rnacentral:tRNA from 2 species